rnacentral:tRNA from 1 species
GGGGUUGUAGCUCAGUAGCAGAGCACUUGCCUAUGGAGCAUGUGUGAAGCACUGGGUUCAAUUCUCAGCACCA